rnacentral:rRNA from 1 species
GGCCUAUUGAUAAUAAUUUUAGGUCGGACCUGCCCAAUGAUUAGUUAAUUGAAUGGCUGCGGUAUAUUGACCGUACAAAGGUAGCAUAAUCAUUAGUUUUUUAAUUGAAAGCUGGAAUGAAGGGUUUGAUGAAAAAAUAACUGUCUCUGUUUAAAUUUAUUAGAAUUUUAUUUUUAAGUCAAAAAGCUUAAAUAAGUAUAGAAGACGAGAAGACCCUAUAGAGUUUUAUAAUUAUUUUUAAAAAUUAUAUUUUAGGAUUUUUUAGUUUUUAGGGAUAAUUAUUUAGUUGGGGUGACGAAAAAAUUAAAUAAACUUUUUUUAUACGAUUACAUUAAUUGAUGAGUUUUUGAUCCUUAUAAAAGAUUAAAAGAUAAAAUUACCUUAGGGAUAACAGCGUAAUUUUUUUUUAGAGUUCAAAUUAAAAAGAAAGAUUGCGACCUCGAUGUUGGAUUAAAAUAAAUUAUUGGUGUAGAGGCUAAUAAAUUAGGUCUGUUCGACCUUUGAAAUUUUACAUGAUCUGAGUUUAAACCGGUGUAAG